ensembl:lncRNA
GUAGCUCCUCGCUCCACUCCGCUCACAUACUCUGCUCCCUACUUUAGCUCCUCGCUCCACUCAGCUCACAUACUCUGCUCCCUAUCGUAGCUCCUCGCUACUCACAUAAUCUGCUCCCUACUGUAGCUCCUCGCUCCACUCCGCUCACAUACUCUGCUCCUCGCUCCACUCCGCUCACAUACUCUGCUCCUCGCUCCACUCCGCUCACAUACUCUGCUCCCUACCGUAGCUCCUCGUUACUCACAUACUCUGCUCCCUAUCGUAGCUCCACUCUGCUCACAUACUCUGCUCCCUACUGUAGCUCCCAUGAUGCUCUUUCAAAUACAGCCACUCCAAUACUGUGUAUAUAUUUGAAGUUGCCUGUGUGUGAAGAGUGUGAAGAGAAAGUUAAGAGAACUCAACUGCUUUAAGACUAAAACCUUAAACAUCUGAAGACUGAAUUGAAGAGGAGGUAUAUUUUCUGUAGCUUUGAGGUUCCGCGCAAAAUGUGGUUUAUUCUGUCCCUUUUCAUUAUUACUUUGCACAUUGUGACCCAGGCCUUUGAAAAAUGGGAUUUUAACAAAGAUAUAAAUACUAUGACUGCAGGUUUCUUACCAUUCAUCAGUCUCUUAUCAUGGUAGAAACUAAGGAAGAACACUCUCUCAUCUCCUGCUUAUUCAGUGGUCCUAAGGUUUCCCCUUUGUUCAUGGACGCUGCGUAUGUCUCAUUGUCUGUAGAUUGGAUACAGAACGAAGAGUUGUGUGUGUCAGUCGGUUGUCUGGUUUGAGUCUGUGGUACUUCUGAACUAUUGUGAAUCUUUUUUAAAAGAGGAACCCGUUGUUGUGAGUAAAUACUGCCAGUUAAGAUGGAGUAAUGACAACCCAAAUAAUUUUAGCGGAAAGGUUAUUUCUUAACUAGCUACUUACCAUGUUUUCCAAAUCACUGACUAUUGUACUGUAGAUAUUAUGUUGGAUAAUCACGGGUCUGAGAAUGAGACAUAAGACAGACAGGUAAGAAAUAGUUAAGAUGGAAUGUAAGUAAUGACUUGAAACAAGGAAUGUAAAGCAGUGUAUUUGACUAACAUAGUUGUAUCAUGACAGGUCACUGACUUAAUAGUAUUACAGAAUCUGACCAGAUUUACAACCGAAACAAGUGGGAACAGUUCUAGGGGCUACAUUAUACAAUAAGGAUUGUAAUAAAUAUAUAUAUAUAUGCAUAUAUUUAUUACAAUCCUUAUUGUAUAUUGUAGCCCCUAGAACUGUUCCCACUUGUUUCGUUUGUAAUAUAUAUAUGCAUGCAGUGAGUGUACAAAAUAUUAAGAACACCUUCCUAAUAUUGAUUGCACCCCCUUUUGCCCUCAGAACAGCCUACAUUCGUCGGGGCAUGGACUCUACAAGGUGUUGAAAGCUUUCCACAGGGAUGCUGGCCCAUGUUGACUCCAAUGCUUCCCACAGUUGUGUUAAGUUGGUUGGAUGUCCUUUGGGUGGUGGAGCGUUCUUGAUACACACGGGAAACUGUUGAGCGUGAAAAGCCCAGCAGCGUUGCUGUUAACACAAACCACCACUUAAAUAUUUUCUUGUCCGUUCCCUCUCUGAAUGGCACACAGACACAAUCCAUGUCUCAGUUGUUUCAAUGCUUAAAAAUCCUUCUUUAACCCGUCUCCUCCCCUUCAUUUACACUGUCAUCAAUAGGGGAUCAUAGCUUUCACCUGGUCAGUCUAGAUCACGGAAAGAGCAUGUGUUCCUAAUGUUUUGUACACUCGGUGUAUAUAAAUUCCGUAGAUAUCUUUUUAACAAUGUAGCAAACUGUUACUACCUACCAGUUGUUAUCAGUUUAACUGUUUUGGGAAAGUCUGCAAAAUAUGCAAAUCUUUUAAAUGUAUAUAUUUUACAAUGCCUUUGUUUGACUCUGUAAACGCUGUCUAAUUCCAUUGAGUUUUGCCUUAACUUAGAAUCUGCCGUCAAAGUCGAUAGCACUAUGAGAUCCGUUUAUGUUAAGAGUGCCCUUAUUUAAAUGUAUUCGUCAAUGAAGUCUCGUUUUUGUCCGGAGUUAAACCGAAUGUCUUGUUAUAGUCUGUUCGUAUAUAUUGUCUAGUACACGAUCUUGUCUUCCAUUCAAAAUGGCUGCUUGUGUGUUUGUGCCUCUUCUUCCUAUUUAAAAACUCACACCAAGGGCUUCUGUAGAGCUAUGUUGAAACAUGCUCCUAAAGAAACAACAGGAUCGCAUUGAAAUCUGGGAGACUGAGAAAUAAAACAUAUUAAUGCCGCUAAAGAGAUGUGUGGUCAUAUUUUAAUGUACACUACAAUGCUUUUUCACAGUUUGACAAGGAUGCAUCGGGGUCUUCCCAGCAACAUUUGUUACCAUGCCAUAAUUUGAACAAGCAUUUAUGCACAAAUGAAGACUAGUAUCCAAGUUUGAGUUCAGAAUUCCUGUGCAGUGUAUUUUCUGUAGGAGAGUAUUAGCAGUAUAGUAGAUCCAUUCAGCAAAGUCAGUAGAUGAGUAUUCCUCUCUGUCACUCAAGUCUUCUUCUCUGGCAUAAUGGUCCUCAGCUCUGCACUGCGGGCCUUGUCAAUCACCUCCAGCUCGCGGAUUUUCUGGAAGGCGAGGAGACACAAACAACCGUUUAAAAAUGUGUGAGAGAGUGAGUGUACCUGUGUGUGUUAUUUCACGCUGUGUUCACCAGUGAAUCUGUAUCAUCGAAACCGUACAGUGUAAAUACUGUUGUUUUUGGGUGUAGAUGACUUUCCUUAAAGACAUUCCUGUGACAUGAGGUAUAUCAGACAACUUACCUGUGAGAUCUCUGUGUUGAUGAUGUUGCUGCUUCCCUUUCCCCAGGGCUGUCAUCUCCUCCAGAAACUCCUUCCUCUCCUCAAUUUCAUCCAAAACUAGGAAAGAAACACAAUCCUUAGAAAACUUGCGAAGGAGAAACUCCUUAAUCAAACACUGUGUUGGGACGGGGUUACAGUAGAUUGGGGCAAAUUAGUUUAGUAGAGUCAUAUGGAACUGAAUUGAAAUGAGGGGAAAGUUAUGUAUGUGAGGAGGAGAGAUAUGUAGGAGAGCCAGAGAUGUGGAUGACAUGUUUCCCCAUAGCCAGAAAGCAGCAACUCUCUCUGUGGUAAUCCUCACCCCCCUGGAAGCGGUCCCUCUCCUCCUCUGGGCCCUGGUCCAGGGAAAUGUUCCUGGGACGACUGGGUCUGGGUUCCUCCUGCCCCGUAGCUAUAAUGUUCUGGAGCCUCCUCUUCUCCUCCUCUAAAUCUUCUUACAAGAGAAGUGAGGGAGAGAAUGAACGCACAUACAUCUCUUAUCCAGAUCUCUCAUAGAAGGAAAAGGAAAGGGGGAUACCUAGUCAGUUGUACAACUGAAUGCAUUCAACUGAAAUGUGAGAGAACUACUGUAAAAGAGGGCUCAUACACACAGGCCUAAAUUACAUUUUUUUUAUACAAGAACAGUGGUACAUUUGUUUCCAGGUGUCCCUGACCAACUAUCAGUGAACUAGUUCUGAUAUCAGGAGAACAGGGCCUCGAUCUUUAGAAUUCCAAGCAUCUCGGAUAGUUGAAAUGUAGUAGAGCUGAUGUAGUUGUCCCUAGAACUACAAUUGUCAGCGGUGCGCCCCAGGGGCUUGGCUGGAGUGUGGUUUGUGCAGUGACGGAGGAGCCGAUGAUGUGGGGUCGCAGGUCAAUGGCAAAGCUGAUCCCUGUGAAAAUGCAGACAAAAAAAACAUAACAUCUUACCUUUGUUUGGCAAAAUUAUUCAUAAAACUUAAAUUAAUGAUAGGACUCAAAAUAGAGCAACAGGUGUGGAGGAAGUUCAAGCAGUAAGUCA